rnacentral:tRNA from 1 species
GCGGGUGUCGCCAAGCGGUAAGGCAGCAGCUUCCCAAGCUGCCAUUCGUGGGUUCGAAUCCCAUCACCCGCUCCU